rnacentral:sRNA from 12 species
CGCCUAACCCUUGGUAACCCCCAAGGUAUGGUGCAAAACUCCGCUAAAGUGUAAAAACCUCCUCGUCAGGAGUCACUUUAGCGGUCAUAUCUGGAAACGGGUAUGGGUUUGGUCGAAAGACCAGAUC